GGGAGUAUAGCUCAGUAGCAGAGCAGCAGACUGCAGAUCUGUAGGUCUCAGGUGCGAACCCUGAUGCUCCCU
rfam:Paramecium tetraurelia chromosome undetermined scaffold_2, whole genome shotgun sequence.